GACUCACGCGGGAAUCUUACCGGGUCCGGACACACUGAGGAUUGACAGGUUAUGGGGCGGGUUGAAUUUCAAUCUCUUCGGGGAUUAAUUUUCUCCCACCUCAAAAAUAUGCUAGUCCUUUCAUGAUUAUGUGAUAGGUGGUGCAUGGCCGUUCUUAGUUCGUGGAGUGAUCUGUCUGCUUAAUUGCGUUUCACUAAAGGCGUCAUUAAUUUUUUGUGCCUGUGUUUGACCCCGCACUUCGGUGCGCGCGCGUCUUUCACACACAAUUACUUUGACGUCUGAAAGCAACGAACGUGACCGUAACCUCUUGUUGCCUUCUCUUCUCUUCGGAGAAUGCUGUUUUUUUUUCUUCACGGAAUUAAUUGCAGUAUACGGAGGCUUAAUACUCAGUAACUAGAGGGACCGCUGUUACUUUCUUUAAACCAGAGGAAGGUUGCGGCAAUAACA
rnacentral:rRNA from 1 species